UACGGAGGGUGCAAGCGUUAAUCGGAAUUACUGGGCGUAAAGGGCGCGUAGGCGGCCUGUUAAGUCGAACGUGAAAUCCCCGGGCUCAACCCGGGAACUGCGUCCGAUACUGGCAGGCUUGAAUCCGGGAGAGGGAUGCGGAAUUCCAGGUGUAGCGGUGAAAUGCGUAGAUAUCUGGAGGAACACCGGUGGCGAAGGCGGCAUCCUGGACCGGCAUUGACGCUGAGGAGCGAAAGCUAGGGGGAGCAAACGGG
rnacentral:rRNA from 1 species